GCGAAAGUGAGGGUACCUGCAGAAGAAGCACCGGCCAACUACGUGCCAGCAGCCGCGGUAAUACGUAGGGUGCAAGCGUUGUCCGGAAUUAUUGGGCGUAAAGAGCUCGUAGGCGGUCUGUUGCGUCGGCUGUGAAAACCCGGGGCUCAACCCCGGGCCUGCAGCCGAUACGGGCAGACUAGAGUUCGGCAGGGGAGACUGGAAUUCCUGGUGUAGCGGUGAAAUGCGCAGAUAUCAGGAGGAACACCGGUGGCGAAGGCGGGUCUCUGGGCCGAUACUGACGCUGAGGAGCGAAAGCGUGGGGAGCAAACAGGAUUAGAUACCCUGGUAGUCCACGCCGUAAACGUUGGGCGCUAGGUGUGGGUUCCCUUCCACGGGAUCCGUGCCGCAGCUAACGCAUUAAGCGCCCCGCCUGGGGAGUACGGCCGCAAGGCUAAAACUCAAAGGAAUUGACG
rnacentral:rRNA from 1 species